GGGGUUGUUUUGGUUUUGACGGUAAGGUAAAUUGGAAUAUUAGCAUGUCGAGCUUUGUGUUUUGGCUCGUAAAUCUCAGAGCUCAACUUUAUAAACGGCGAAAAUAACUACGCGCUUGCUGCUUAAUCUCACUCAGUGAAUUAAACUUAAUCCUUCAUCUAGGUAUGAUGGACAAGCUGUUUCUCAAAAAGCCCUGUUUAGCGGCAUUUUGAAUAUGGAGCAUCGUAAAAGUUAAACUAGUGUAGUUAGCACUUCGAUGGCUAUGCGAAAUUAAAGAAGAUAAGGUUUAGUUCGGCUGCUCUUUGCCAGACUAUUCUCGAAAAUUAAUAAAGAGAUAAACAUGUAGAAAAUAUUUUAAUUUCUUAUUCGGACGCGGGUUCGACUCCCGCCAGCUCCACUA
rnacentral:tmRNA from 1 species